GUGAAUGCAAGCAAAUCUCAAAAAUAAACGUCUCAGUUCGGAUUGUAGUCUGCAACUCGACUACAUGAAGCUGGAAUCGCUAGUAAUCGCGGAUCAGCAACGCCGCGGUGAAUGCGUUCCCGGGCCUUGUACACACCGCCCGUCAAGUCAUGAAAGUGGGCAGCACCCGAAGACGGUGGCCUAACCCUUGUGGGGGGAGCCGUCUAAGGUGAGGCUCGUGAUUGGGACUAAGUCGUAACAAGGUAAC
rnacentral:rRNA from 1 species